AGACAGCACAGCCUUCACGCACAUACAGUGGUGGUGGUGCUGGCGGUGGUGUUUUGGUUUACUGCUCAGUCUAUCUACACACCCAGACGCAUUCACGCACAGCCAUAGAUACUCAAAACACACACAGAACCAAGCUAAAUACACACACACACAAUGAAGUGAAGUGUUAGCAUAUUCCCAGGCAGUUUUUAGCAGCACAAUCGGCAAGACAAGAGUGAACCAGCAGUGCAAGGCAAGCCACCAUGACCUGCAGCCUUCACCACACCCCUCCUUCACUUACUCAAGGCUCACACGUCAACACGGAAGCAACAGAAGGAAGAAGAAGGA